GUGUGCGAGUCAUUGGGUAUUUUGUUGAAACCUAAGGGCGCAAUUAAAAUAACUAUUUUAUGGGAUUACAAGUGAAUUAAAUUUCAUUUCUCCAUCCCGGGGCGUUCUAUACGAACAUGGUUUAAGCAAUUGAACCCUCUGUUCAAGAGCGUACCUUGAGCAUACAUGCUGUGACCCGAAAGAUGGUGAACUAUACCUGAUCAGAUCGAAGCCAGGAGAAAUUCUGGUGGAGGAUCGAAACAGUUCUGACGUGCAAAUCGAUUGUCAGAAUUGGGUAUAGGGGCGAAAGACCAAUCGAACCAUCUAGUAGCUGGUUCCCUCCGAAGUUUCCCUCAGGAUAGCUGGCGCAAAUAAUUAUAUUUUAUAUAAUCUUAUCUGGUAAAGCGAAUGAUUAGAGGCCUUGGGGCCGAAACGACCUCAACCUAUUCUCAAACUUUAAAUGGGUAAGAACCUCAUCUUUCUUGAUCUGAAGAUAUUGGGGUUUAGAUAUAUUGUGCCCAGUGGGCCACUUUUGGUAAGCAGAACUGGCGCUGUGGGAUGAACCAAACAUGAUGUUACGGCGCCUAAAUUAAUGACUCAUAUUGAUACCAUGAAAGGCGUUGGUUGCUUAAAACAGCAGGACGGUGGACAUGGAAGUCGUAAUCCGCUAAGGAGUGUGUAACAACUCACCUGCCGAAGCAACUAGCCCUUAAAAUGGAUGGCGCUCAAGUCAUAUGCCUAUACAUCAUCGCUAGAAUAAAAAUUGUUGGCCAUUUUUGGUCAUCAUUAUGAAAUUCUAGUGAGUAGGAGGGUACAAUGGUGUGCGCAGAAGUGUUUGGCGUGAGCCUGCAUGAAGCCGCCAUUGGCACAGAUCUUGGUGGUAGUAGCAAAUAAUCGAAUGAGAUCUUGGAGGACUGAAGUGGAGAAGGGUUUCGUGUGAACAGUGGUUGAUCACGAGUUAGUCGGUCCUAAGCUUUAUGCGAAAGCUGUUUAAUUUAUGUUACACACAAAUAUACUAUUUUAUUGUUGUACAUAAUUCAAUAAAAGCGAAAGGGAAUACGGUUCCAAUUCCGUAACCUGUUGAGUAUACGUUUGUUUAUUAAAAAUGGGUCUUAUUACACUCAUCCUGGCAACAGGAACGACCAUAGAGAAGCCUUCGAGAGAUACUGGAAGAGUUUUCUUUUCUGCUAAACAAACGUAUCACCAUGGAAGUCUUUUAUAGAGAGAUAUGGUGGAUGGCUUGGAAGAGCAUGACAUUUACUGUUGUGUCAGU
rnacentral:rRNA from 1 species